rnacentral:rRNA from 1 species
CCUACGGGUGGCUGCAGUGAGGAAUAUUGGUCAAUGGGCGCGAGCCUGAACCAGCCAAGUAGCGUGAAGGAUGACUGCCCUACGGGUUGUAAACUUCUUUUAUAAAGGAAUAAAGUGAGGCACGUGUGCCUUUUUGCAUGUACUUUAUGAAUAAGGAUCGGCUAACUCCGUGCCAGCAGCCGCGGUAAUACGGAGGAUGCGAGCGUUAUCCGGAUUUAUUGGGUUUAAAGGGAGCGUAGAUGGGUUGUUAAGUCAGUGGUGAAAGUUUGCGGCUCAACCGUAAAAUUGCAAUUGAUACUGGCAGACUUGAGUACGUUUGAGGUAGGCGGAAUGCGUGGUGUAGCGGUGAAAUGCUUAGAUAUCACGAAGAACUCCGAUUGCGAAGGCAGCUUACUAAGCUACAACUGACACUGAUGCUCGAAAGUGUGGGUAUCAAACAGGAUUAGAUACCCUUGUAGUC